ensembl:miRNA MIR3649 microRNA 3649
GCUUGGAACAGGCACCUGUGUGUGCCCAAGUGUUUCUAGCAAACACAGGGACCUGAGUGUCUAAGC